GAAGCCGAGCCGAAUAAGGAAAAUCAUAAAAGGUGCUUGGAGGUAUCAAGCUUUUUGAAGGCAGAAGGGGCCCACUUACCCGGCGUUGUCAACUGAAGCCAGCUGUGUCGCUUCUUGCAGAUAUGAAAUGGGCGCUAAACUGUGUUUUUUAACACGUGGAGCUUUGUCAUUGGAGAAUUGUUUUUAAUCUGAUCUAUAUUGUAUAAACAAACCUAAACGCGCGGUUUGGUUUGUAAAAAAAAAAAAUUAUUUAUUUAAUUUUAAUUAAAAUUUAAACUUAAUUCUUCACCUUUCUAUUAAUUUAUUUUAGAAAACUGGCACUUUGUUUUUAA
rnacentral:misc_RNA from 1 species